CGUACAAAAGCCACCUUUUUUAGCAUCUUUUUAUUGCGAUCGUUUUAAACAAUCAAUCUGCCCAACCAAACUUACGGAUGAAGGAGACUUUUUUAAAGGAGAGAUGUUGUUGAUUUUAAUAACUGCGCGCAAGUUGACCGUUUGUUAUAGAUUGAUGGUUCACUUGUCGGUUAGGUGUUUACCUGCAGUUAGCUGAAAUGAUUGAGAAAGCAUCAGCAAGUUGCUUCUUCUUCUUCUAUCCAUCAGCUAGAUGUGCGAUUAAAGAGAGGACAAAGAAGCAAUAUAUUGUGGAAGGAAUCAGGAGCAGUUUUGGGGUUUUGGCGGCCAUGGCGAUGCCUUUAGAAUUCGCAGCGUACGUAGUGUGCAUGGUGUGGAGUGCUUUCGGAGACUGGGUGUCGUGGUGCCUCUCGGCUGCCGACGCAAUCGCCGGCGCCGCCAGGUUCGGAGAUUUCAACCGCUUCGUCCUUGUUUGAUUCUUUCUUCUUUUAGCUAUUUAUUUGUGUAUGUAAUGUAAGAAGAUCAGAGUAAACAGAGCAGUGAAUUGCCAUUUUUAUUCUCA